AUACUACUCCCUCCGUCCUAAAAUUUUUGUCUUAGAUUUAUCUACAUACAAAUGUAUCUAUUCACAUUUUAGUGUUAGAUACAUCCGUAUCUAGAUAAAUCUAAGACAAGAAUUUUGGGACUGAGAGAGUAGUAU
rfam:Triticum aestivum genome assembly, contig: Triticum_aestivum_CS42_TGACv1_scaffold_642311_T_7BL-0.157713_3B-0.147703